AUGACACCGCCAUAUAUAAAGGAAGUUUAAAUCAACAUUUAUGUCUACGUAGUUACGUGAGACUAUUUUGGUGGGGAAAGAAAAUGACGUGAAUCUGUUCUAUGCUGAGUUGGUUCUUAAAAGUCAGUCUAAAUACCUCCCAGAAAAGGAAGUGGCAACGUACUUCUACUACUUGUGCUGCCAUUGGUGGAAAUCCUCCUGCACUCCCACCUCCGCUUUCCAAACAAAUGGCUCCCCUCUUAUGUUUCCCCGUUCUGUGCUUGGGAAUCAUGCCAUGAUGGCACAAGUCACCUAAAAGACAUGAAGGGCUUGACGUUGGGGGAGAUGAAUCUUUAUUCCCUGGUGAGCAGCAGCCACUGUUGGCUCUGCAAUUUUCACAGAAGCCGCCUAGGCAAAGGAGCACUUUAGUAGGAGAAGAGCAACCAUCCUUGUUUAUCCCAGCACAGCAUCCGUUCAGGGACAAUUGUGGGUAUUUCCCUUGUGCUGCAUUUUUGACUGUGAGCUCCCUUUGAACAGAGAACCAUAAUCCUAAUCAUUUUCCUGUCGGAACUGCUGAGAACUUUGUUGAAAGCUAGAUAGCACUAUCUGAUGACCACGCUGCCAUUUAAAAAACAGGCGUCGAGUAAGAGCGUCAGAGAGACAAGCCUUGUGAUCACGUAACAGAUCUCUGGUAACAAACCUACAGUGGCUGCCUGAGUGAAGAGUGGCAUAGAGUAAGAAGGGAUCAUCUUCAGACCUUAAACAAGAAAAAGACAAAGAGGAACAUCAUACACUGCAGACCUGAGGAUUGUAAAACUGAUUCGAGAACUUAUUCAAAAUUUUUUGCCCAUAUUAAAUACAAAGCUAUUAAGGGCUUGAUCUUCUGCUCAGGGGCGUAUCUAGGGUGGGGCAGGCAGUGCAUGUGCCCCGGGCGCCACUUGAAGGGGGGCGCCAUUUUUAAAAAUUAACUUUUUUUAAAAAAAUGGCCACUGAAAACAAAAUGGCCACUGCACAUGCUCAAAUGGUCCCUGCAAGGCCCUAGAGGCCAGCGGGGGGAGAGGGAGCCUUUGCAGACUCCCCCAAUGGCCUUUAGAAAGCCCCCUAAAGGGGCUACAGGUAAAAAAAUAAUUUAAUAUAAUAUAAGUCUCUGUACACAUAUUCAGUUUGGCACUAUGUAUAGAGAAUCAGGGCUUGUGAAUACUGAGCUGGUGCUUAUGAGCUAGGAUUGUAUUCAUUUGCUCUUACUUUGCUUCUUGUGAUAAGUGAGUUAAAUGUGAUGUCUUAAUAAUAUGGCUAUUAAUGGUGAGUUUGUCUUUGAAUCAGUGUGAAAUCCUUAGUAUUAAGGCCCACUGGGAGUUUCUUGCUCUCUUUCUCUCAUUUUCACUAUCUUUCUGAAAUACUAGAAUAUAUUCCAAGCAGUGACACAAUUUACUCUGCAUUUUCAGAGUAUCUGAGAAAAGUCAAAUUCUCUAUUUAUUUUUAAAACUUAUGUAAUAGUGAUGCUACAAUGCACAGUAGACAAUUAGGCAGGCGCUUCUGUUUAGUUUUCUAAGUACACCUCCACAUAGUAUUUGGGUAUUUCAUGAGCCCCAGCGUACUGAAAUUUGUAGUUUUCCAGCAUUUUUUUUGGUCUGGCUAUGUCCACUGCUAAAUAGUUUUUGAAAUAUUAAAAGAUUAACUAGCUUGACUUGUAUUUUUGAGCUGAUAAUAUGGUAAUGUUAUCUGAAAGAUGGGUGUCAGAUGUUUGGACAUGGGGCGCAAUUUCAGUGCUUGCCCUAAGCGCUAUUUUCCCUAGAUACGCCUCUGCUUCUGCUUGUCAUAAUAUCCAACUAUUAGGAAACCAGGUUUGUUGGAAUAAGUCCUUCCGCUAUAACUGAAUAAUAUAAUAUUAAAAGAUAUUUUGCCAUCUAAUAAAACUGAACUGUAGCAAUAUUGCCAGACCAAAAGUAUAUUUAAAUAUGACUGAUUCCAAUCAUGAACAACAUUUAAACUAUCUAGAUAUUGGCUGGCAUCCAGACAAACACUGCACUGCCUGGUGCUAUGGAGAAGAGUGAUUUUUACCAAAUUUCCCCUUCUGUCUGAAGUCCACGGUGCCUUCUGAAAAUAUAUCCCUGAGGGCCACAUGACCUUCAGGGACAUAGUUUCAGGAGGCACAGUGGGCUUCAGAGCAAAGGGGAGAUCAGCAAAAAUAACCCCUCCCCUGUAGUACAAGCACACAAUUAGUCUGGAUGUCAGCACUAAAAACAAGUAUUUUGGCCUAGCUCUGUAGGACUAAAAUAAUAUAUUUCAAAUAUGCAAGUGCCAACCCAUCAAGAUUUUUAGGCUCCUUGGAUUUUUGUAGUCUCUAUGAGAUAAUUUUCAAAUUUGGAUAUUAAACAGAAUUGUGCCUCUCUGACUCACUGUGGAUUUAUUUUCCAUCCAAAGUUAACAGCAGAAGCAAAUUAAAUUGGAUUAAAUUGUAGCAAAUUUGUUAAUGGAUAGUUUUUAACACAAAAAAUAAUGACCAAUGAUAUUUCCUGUUUUCAUGAGAACUGCUCUUUGUUAAGCAUUCUGUAGUGUUCCAGCUUUUUAUCUAUCUAAUCCUUUUUCUUUUGGACAGGAAUUUCCAUAUGACUAGAAAUGUAAUUCUUCUUAGUAUGCAUGCGAGUUAUUUCAAUGCUUAAUCAUAAAUAAUAGUUGUCCUGAAAAGAUAUACUAUAUGUUUUUCAUUGUAUGUUCCAGUAUUAAUUGCACAUGGAUGUAAGAAAGAGAGAGUGUUACGACUAACUAAUGUGCAUAUUUAUUAUUAUUUGUUUAUUAUUUAUCUGUGUAAACCGCCCUGAGCCAUUUUCGGAAGGGCAGUAUAGAAACUGAAUGGAUGAAUGAAUAAAUAAAAGUUUGCAAAGCUCUA